UUCGCAAUGCCCGAAAGGGUGACGAAGCGACGCCGCGUGUGGGAAGAAGGCCUUCGGGUUGUAAACCACUGUCGGGAGUUAAGAAAUGUAAGGGUGUUAAUAGCGCCUUUACUUGACAAAGGCUCCAGAGGAAGCCACGGCUAACUCUGUGCCAGCAGCCGCGGUAAUACAGAGGCGGCAAGCGUUGUUCGGAAUUAUUGGGCGUAAAGAGCACGUAGGCGGCUUUGCAAGUCAGUUGUGAAAGCCUUCCGCUUAACGGAAGAACAGCAGCUGAUACUACAGAGCUUGAGUACGGGAGGGGAGAGUGGAACUUCUGGUGGAGCAGUGAAAUGCGUAGAUAUCAGAAGGAACGCCGGCGGCGAAAGCGAUUCUCUGGUCCGAAACUGACGCUGAGUGUGCGAAAGCUAGGGGAGCAAACGGGAUUAGAUACCCCGGUAGUCCUAGCCGUAAACGAUGGGCACUAAGUAGAGGGGUUUU
rnacentral:rRNA from 1 species